UACGUAGGCAGCAAGCGUUGUUCGGAAUUACUGGGCGUAAAGAGUGUGUAGGCGGUGCUCUAAGUUUGGUGUGAAAUCUCCCGGCUCAACUGGGAGGGUGCGCCGAAAACUGGAAUGCUUGAGCGUGGGAGAGGAAAGCGGAAUUCCUGGUGUAGCGGUGAAAUGCGUAGAUAUCAGGAGGAACACCUGCGGUGUAGACGGCUUUCUGGACCAUUGUUGACGCUGAGACACGAAAGCGUGGGUAGCAAACAGG
rnacentral:rRNA from 1 species